GGUCGGGCUCCAAAUUCCUUAAUAGGACACCCAUAGCACAAGAGUUAAUAACAAGAAUCAACAAAUGGGACUUACUUAAACUAAAAAGUUUUUUUCUCAGCAAGAGAAACAAUAAGAGAGGUAAAUAGGGAGCCUACAUCAUGGGAACAAAUGUUUACUCCUCACACUUCAGAUAGAGCCCUAAUAUCCAGAUUAUACAAAGAACUCAAAAAAUUAGACAAUAAGUUAACAAAUAACCCAAUCAACAAAUGGGCCAAGGACCUGAACAGACACUUCUCAGAGGACGACAUACAAUCAAUCAACAAGUACAUGAAAAAAUGCUCACCAUCUCUAGCAGUCAGAGAAAUGCAAACCAAAACCACCCUAAGAUACCAUCUCACUCCAGUAAGAUUGGCAGCCAUUCUGAAGUCAAACAACAAGUGCUGGUGAGGAUGUGGGGAAAAGGGUACUCUUCUACAUUGCUGGUGGGACUGCAAAUUGGUGCGGCCAAUCUGGAAAGCAGUAUGGAGAUUCCUGGGAAAGCUGGGAAUGGAACCACCAUUUGACCCAGCUAUUGCCCUUCUCGGUCUAUUCCCUGAAGACCUUAAAAGAGCGUACUACAGGGAUACUGCCACAUCGAUGUUUAUAGCAGCACAAUUCACAAUAGCUAGACUGUGGAACCAACCCAGAUGCCCUUCAAUAGAUGAAUGGAUAAAAAAAUGUGGCAUUUAUACACCAUGGAGCACUAAAAAAUGACAAAAUCAUGGAAUUUGCAGGGAAAUGGAUGGCACUAGAGCAGAUCAUGCUAAUUGAAGCUAGCCAAUCCCUAAAAAACAAAUGCCAAAUGUCUUCUUUGAUAUAAUGAGAGCAACUCAGAACAGAACAGGGAGGAAGAGCAGGAGGAAAAGAUUAACAUUAAACAGAGACAUGAGGUGGGAGGGAAAGGGAGAGAAAAGGGAUAUUGCAUGGAAAUGGAAGGAGAC
rnacentral:lncRNA from 1 species